rnacentral:rRNA from 1 species
GAUCCUGGCUCAGAGCGAACGCUGGCGGCAGGCCUAACACAUGCAAGUCGAACGAACUCUUCGGAGUUAGUGGCGGACGGGUGAGUAACACGUGGGAGCGUGCCUUUAGGUUCGGAAUAACUCAGGGAAACUUGUGCUAAUACCGAAUGUGCCCUUCGGGGGAAAGAUUUAUCGCCUUUAGAGCGGCCCGCGUCUGAUUAGCUAGUUGGUGAGGUAAAGGCUCACCAAGGCGACGAUCAGUAGCUGGUCUGAGAGGAUGAUCAGCCACAUUGGGACUGAGACACGGCCCAAACUCCUACGGGAGGCAGCAGUGGGGAAUCUUGCGCAAUGGGCGAAAGCCUGACGCAGCCAUGCCGCGUGAAUGAUGAAGGUCUUAGGAUUGUAAAAUUCUUUCACCGGGGACGAUAAUGACGGUACCCGGAGAAGAAGCCCCGGCUAACUUCGUGCCAGCAGCCGCGGUAAUACGAAGGGGGCUAGCGUUGCUCGGAAUUACUGGGCGUAAAGGGAGCGUAGGCGGACAUUUAAGUCAGGGGUGAAAUCCCGGGGCUCAACCUCGGAAUUGCCUUUGAUACUGGGUGUCUUGAGUAUGAGAGAAGUGGUGUGGAACUCCGAUGGUAGAGGUGAAAUUCGUAGAUAUUUCGGAAGAACACCAGUGGCGAAGGCGACACACUGGCUCAUUACCGACGCUGAGGCUCGAAAGCGUGGGGAGCGAACAG